rnacentral:rRNA from 1 species
GACGAACGCUGGCGGCGUGCUUAACACAUGCAAGUUGAACGGGGAUAUCAUCUUCGGAUGAUAUCUUAGUAGCGGACGGGUGAGUAACGCGUGAGCAAUCUGCCCAUAAGAGGGGGACAACAGCUGGAAACGGCUGCUAAUACCGCAUAAGACCACAUUACCGCAUGGUAGAGGGGUCAAAGAUUUAUCGCUUAUGGAUGAGCUCGCGUCCCAUUAGAUAGUUGGUAGGGUAACGGCCUACCAAGUCAACGAUGGGUAGCCGACCUGAGAGGGUGAUCGGCCACACUGGAACUGAGACACGGUCCAGACUCCUACGGGAGGCAGCAGUGGGGAAUAUUGGGCAAUGGGCGAAAGCCUGACCCAGCAACGCCGCGUGAAGGAAGAAGGUUUUCGGAUUGUAAACUUCUGUCCUUGGGGACGAAAAAAAUGACGGUACCCAAGGAGGAAGCCCCGGCUAACUACGUG